UGAGUCAAUUGCUGAAGAAUCAUCUAGAAAGCCCAUUUAAAUGGAUAUUCUUAGGCCCAACUCUUGAGAUUGUGGUUACCGGAUAUGAGGUGUCUCUGAUACAGUUUAAACCACAUUCCUAAUUCCUGUUCCUUCCUUCAUUUAUUUAUUUAAUAAAGAUGAGUUCCUACUAUGUUCCAACUCAAAUCUCUCUACAGGUGAUCCAACUGCAUUCAUUCUGCAAAUAUUUUAAAAACUCUACUUUCAACAUUCAACUUGAUGAUUUACAUUCCCUAUCAAAAUUCCUUUGCAAUCAAAGAUUUGCUGACAUAUAUACCUUGUAUACAGCCCAAUAAAUCUUAGUUCCUUUUCAUAUUACAAAAUCUAGAUUCACAUUGUUAUUACAUAGUCCUCAAUUCAUAAAGGAGGGAAGCAAUGCAACAUUUGCUGAUAGGGCAAAGCCUAAGAAGCAGCUGCUCUUCCCUUUCAGCUGUACAUAUAUGCUUUUUCUUCCCUUUGUAAAAUGCUCUCCUGUGUAUCUAUUCAAACCCUUAAAAGGAUAGGUCAAAUUCAGUAUUCAAUACAACUUGCUUGACUUCCUAACCACAAUAAUAUGUCUUUCCUUACAGUGUAGAGAAUAGCUACUCUGUUGUUUGAAAAGUACAUGUCCUAACAUUUGAUUUUCAGUUAUCUACCACUCUUUAAUUUUUUAAUGGUUUUAGCUCUUGUGUAAGUAAGAUUCUGGAGAGGCAACUGUGUAAGACAUUUUCAUUAUAAGAGUGACUGGCCUACUGCUAAGUACACAGUAAACCUCAAUUUGAUAGUACUCCUUUUUCUACUUGUGCAAAUCAUCCUCAGGUUACUAACAAUGCUUUGUUCUUUUAUAACAUCAUAAACUACCCCAUCCCUCCAAAAAAACAAAAAUAUCUAAAUGAUUCAAAAUUGCCAAAGGUUCAUCCUCUAUAUAAGGAGAAUAGCACACUUACUUCAUUUGCUACAAUACCUUAGGCAAGUAGCUUAAACUAUAGAAGCCUAAAUUUUCUUAUCUAUAAAACAAAUAAUUCUCAGGUCAAUGUGAAAAGUUACUGAGAUAACAUAAACUAUUCAGCAUAGUUCCUGACACAUAAAUUUAAGCAAAUUGACAAGGAAAUAGUCUAAGAAGAAAUAGUGUAGUUAAGAGACAACAAGGUUUCUCUGGUUAAUCAAAUCAAAUUCAUAAGACUACUAUUAUUUUUAUAAGAUUAUUUUAAACAGUAGUAACUACAAUUAACUUACAAAAAUAAAGUAAUGCACAGUUCUGAAUGGUGGCCCAGUAGUCCCUGUAGUAUUAACAGAAAGAACUCAGGGCCUAAACACAGCUCCAACCACCUGCUUACUAAAGGACAUUAACAAAAUAAUUUAAAUCCUUAAAACCUACUUUCUCACUUGUAAAAUUAAGCAAAAAUAACUGUCACAGGUUAAAUAAGAUAAAGGCAAAUAAAAAGCCUGGCCACCAGUUUCUCCAGUACUGAACCUUUUCUUUCUGAGCUUAAAAUAAAAAUUCUGCACUGUGUUUAACAAUAAGGCUGGAAAGUUCAUUAGACACAAUAUAUACACAAUCCAAAGUCAAUAUUAAGUAUUUCAACACAAAAUUGGCAGGGAGGAAAGAAGACUGGCAGAAAAAGAAAGCUUUUAGCUAAGUCUAAGAAUCUGACUUCUUAACAGGAGCAUGUCCAUUAUACUUACAUCAAACAACAUGCAAAAGCCAUCAAGGAAUAACAAUUUUAAAGAAUGCUUUUGGUUAACAAUAUAUUAUGAAUGUUUCUGCCUUUGGAAAUAGCUAGAGAAAUAGACUGUUAAAACGCGUAAGAAACAGGAAUUUCCUAUGCAUGCCUUCCUCCAUCCACCUAGCUCCUCCCCACUGCUCUCAAACAAGAUCCUCUGUAUUACCUUCUGGAAUCUGGACACAGGAUGAAUUAAAUACCCUCCCCAUUCACUGACUCCAACAAAAUACUUAUGCUUAUAUUUUAAGACUGCUAAGAAGUUUAAGCCUCAAGAAAUUCCUUAAUUUAUUCUAGAUGCAAAUAUAUUCGAAACUUGUAAAAUAAGACUAUAUUAAUCUCUGCUGUGAUGAUCAAAAGACAUACAGGCAAAAAUAAAAUUCACAAUGCAAAGCUCUGUAACCAAGCUCAACAUAAUAAAAGGAUAUAAGGAGUUCUCUUGAAUGUUUGAGAAACCUGAGUGAAAACACACAAAACAAUGCCACUUGGGAUAUCCUUAUCUUUCCAAGUAUUACAAUCUUUUAAUGCUUUAAAAUGCGCUUUUCCCAUCAGUGUAAUUUAGUUUGUGUUUGUUUUUGUUUUGUGCUAGGGCUUGAACCCAGCACAAAUUGAACAGGCACUAUAACAUUAUACAGCCUCAUUCCCUGUAAUUUCAUUGUUUAAGCAACCAGUCCUAUCUAUUUGGUGUAUUUUUAUUCUACAAUGCUUUUCUAAUGCAGACCAAAAAGGUGUAUUGAUCACCUAUCAAUAUGAAGGAAGCAUUUCUUUCUAAAUUCUUUCCAAAACAAGUUUUUACUUUGAUGACCUGAGCCUAAGCUGAAUUUUGCUUGAGGAUUCUAAUUUUCUAAUAUUUUAAUUUUUUUUUUUUUGCAAUAGUGGGCUCAGGGUGCUUCCAAAGCUAGGCAGGUGCUCUUCCACUGAGCUACAUGCCCAGCCCCUAAUUCAAAGUUCUGGGAUAUGUUUCACAUUUUCUCUGACAGCUUCUCUACCUAAGACACCUGGUUUAUUUAGAAGACAGCCACUUUUUUGGCCACCUUUUGUCUAAAUGAUAUAAUGAAAUGGAAUGAGCAACCUGAUUCUGGUUAUAACUUUUCACUUGGACUAAGUGAGUAACUGCAGUUACCGAUCUCAGAUGAAUACAUUCUCUAAAGCACAAAAAAAUACUCAAAUUAUAGGGGCACAGUUAGCAAUUUGGGGACCAGUUAUUUUGGACAUAAAACUCCCUGUUAAGGCCAUUCUUAAACAUGCUUAUUUAUCCCCAGCCCAGUCUCAAGAUCCUCUCAUGUGUGCUAAUAAAGCUGAGGAUGUAACUUUUCAGUGGCUGCAUUCAAUAGGCAACUAGAAAGAAAAAACAAAAGCCUUCUAAGAACCAAAAUAAAUGAAACUCUAAAGUGGGAAAUUCAGAUUAUGACAGGUGGUAAAAAAAAUAGUUGGUAGAGAAGGGGACUCCUAAUCAGUUCCAUCCAUAACAUAAUGGUGUCCAGUCAGCAAUCGUUCUGUGUGAGCUAAGACCAAUGAAGUAAUACAAUGACGUAACAAUUGGGAUAUUAAAACACAAACAGACUGAACCCAUCUCACCAAUCCUCCUAGUUACUUAGCAUGUGUUUUAAAUUCAUGGUUGCCCUUUCAGAAAGGGAUCACUUAAGGACAGUUAAGCUCAAUCAGAUACCUAACACACUAAUUCAAAAUAAACAAAACUCUUAUUUCAAAAGGGAGGAAAAUGGAGACAGAAAAAGAAACAUCCUACUUAAGAUUUCACCAUGUUAUUUAUUAGGGGGAUAAUUAUCUACACUAUCUUUAUUCAUGAUUCAGCAAUUUCUAAAGCAUUAAGUAUUAAUUAUGAGGCAGUAUUUAUCACUUUAGCACACGUGAAAAGUCCUACUCACUCAGGACAAAUUUAAUUUUAAAACUGACCCUAAACAAAAAACUACUCACUAUACUAAGAGAAAGAAAAAUAAAAAACACUUGUUCUGGAAAGUGAGACUAGAUUACAAGAAACUAACUUUAAUAAGAUGUCCACAAGAAAAACCCAGAAAGUUCCAAGGCUACACUUGUGUUUUCUAAGAAAAAAUACUCACUUGGUUGUUUCUCUCUGCCUGAGAUUUUAGAAACUGCUACACUAGCAUAAAGGUAUGAGAAUGAAGACUUUAAGAGAAAUUUAGUAUGGUGAAUAAAAGGAAUAAAAAGCUGGCAAUUGGUACCACCCUCAAAAAACUAGAGCCUCCCCCAAAAAAAGUAUUAAUAUUUCAACAUAAACUUGCUAAUCAGCACUAAUACUAUACAGUCUACUCUCUAAGUGCAGAGCAUAUAGUAACUGUCUGAAAGCUAUUCUUUGUUUUAGUAAACUAUGCUACAUAUCUAUCAGAAACAACUACUUGCAAUUAAGCCCAUUUCUUUAUACUUCUACACCUUCCUGGAGCUUUCAAGACUGUCACAGAACCAACGAGUUACAACUUAAGUUUCUUUUCCAGGGUGCUUCUCUUCCCUCCCCAGUGGGACACAGGAACAAGUUUUUAAACUUAAAACACACUGAUACCUAGCACCGAGAAUUCACUCUCUUCGCAACCUGCUUAAAUUUUCAAAGUUCUAAAGAGAUGGGCUCACGUUGGAAACGAAAAACUACCUUAUAAGGCUAUGAAAGGCUGAAAGCAGGAAGCGGCUUUGACAAAACUAAGGAAGUUGCAGCGCGCUUGCUCACUGGGGGACUUUUUUGAGGCAAGAGAAGUAACACAUGACAUCUUUCUCUCUCGAAUUAAAAUGGGACUUGGGCUCCGCGGUCAAAGCGCCGUGGGAAAUGGCAAUGGCCCGCGAGUGGAGUGGAAAAGAGGGGAACCAUGGGAAGCAGAGCGAACAAAGAAUGAUGCCCACACUGAGCCCAAAAUAGUUCCAAGUGGAAUUGCCUGCACAAAGAAAAGAAAGAUAUUUUUAUUGAGCACCACCUACUACAUGCCAGAGGUUAUUCUAGCUUCUGAAGAUACAGCAGUGAAGAAAAUACAACAAUCUAAGUCUUCUUGGAGGUAACACAUUCUCAACAUUACUAUUCAUUUUCAAAUAGGUAUAUACUCCACAUAUCUC